rnacentral:rRNA from 1 species
UACAGAGGUCUCAAGCGUUGUUCGGAUUUACUGGGCGUAAAGGGCGCGUAGGCGGUAGCACAAGUCAGUUGUGAAAUCUCCGGGCUUAACUCGGAAAGGUCAACUGAUACUGUGCGACUAGAGUGCAGAAGGGGCAACUGGAAUUCUCGGUGUAGCGGUGAAAUGCGUAGAUAUCGAGAGGAACACCUGCGGCGAAGGCGGGUUGCUGGGCUGACACUGACGCUGAGGCGCGAAAGCCAGGGGAGCGAACGGG